CAGGCUAUGAUGAUUGGCGCAGGGGUACGGACCUCAGCUGAGCCAUGGGAGCUGGAUGUCUGUGUUUCUCCUUCGUCCUGCACGUGGCAGGUUGAUGGUGAACACUUACAUGAGACUGAUGCCUCAAUCUGAGCCUG
ensembl:snoRNA SNORD94 small nucleolar RNA SNORD94